UUGUGGGUGAUCACGUGUUAGUUUGUGAUAUCCACGGGCACUCCGGAAAGGCUGAAGCCGAAGUUGGCUCUUGGCAUGUCGAGCUGGUGUCUCAGCCACUGGAUGUCUGAUUGAAUUCUUCCUGCAUAUGGAGAAGGGGAAUGGCCUGUCCCUGGUGUGACUGCACCAUUGUGUGACCAGUUUGGUUUCACAGGGUAUUAGAAGGGGAAGAUUUGCAGUGAGGAAACUUAAAUCAAACAUCACUUCAGGAUCUGACUGAAUCGUUCAAUUUAUUGUAGCCUGAAUGUCAUUGGAUAUUGAACCUGGAAGAAAAAGACACCACCCAUGGUGGGGAAAAACUGUAUACACGUUGUACAUGUGGACAAGGCUUCAGAUCAUCUGCCCUAUCAAAACAUUAAUGUAGUCAUGCUGGGAGAGGCCAUUCAUCUGUUCCCCAUGUGAGAAAGGAUUCACUCGAUCAUCCAUACUGCUGAGACACCAGCAAAUUCACACAGAAGAGAGACCUUUUAAAUGCUCAGACUGUGGCAAGUGCUUUGGAGUGUGGGAAGGGGUUCACUUGGUCAUCUCACCUCUUGACACACCAAUGGCUUCACACUGGGGAGAGGCCCUUCACCUGCUCUGUCUGUGGGGAAAGAUUCUCUGAUUCAUCGAACCUCACAACACACCAGCGAGUUCACACCAAAAACAGGCCAUUCAGCUGCUUUGUGUUUGGAAAGAGAUUCACUCAGUCAUGCAAUCUGCUGACACAUCAGGGAGUUUUCACGUAUGAGUGACCUUUUAGAUGUUCAGAUCGUGGGAAAUGCUGUAAAAGCUCGAAGGAACUGAUGUCCCAUCAACAUGUUCACACUGAUGAGAGACCCUUCGAGUGCUCUCGUCGUGAGAUUGGGUUUAGGCGAUCAUCUGACCUCGUUGAUCACCAGAGGAUUCACACUGCGGAUAGACCAUUCACUGCAUCGAGUGUGGGAAGGGAUUCACUCAGAAAUCCAACCUGCUGAAACACCAGCAAGUUCACACAGAGGAGAGAUUUUUUAAAUGUCCAGACUGUGGGAAAUGCUUUAAAAGCUUUGGGGACCUGAUGUCCCAUCAACGUGUUCACACUGAUGAGAGACCAUUCAGGUGUUCUCACUGUGGAACUGGGUUCAAGUGGUCAUCCCAACUCACUGUACAUCAGCAAGUUCACACUGGAGAGAGGCCGUUCACCUGCACUGACUGUGGGAAGAGAUUUGCUGUGAAAUCCAACCUGCUGAGUCAUCAGCGAGUUCAUGAGUACUGACAGUGAUUGGAUUUCACUGUGAACAUUUCCCUGCUUGCUAAUGUCCUUACCUCUCGGCCAACAAUCUGGUUUCAAGUCCCACCUGGCAUGAAGCUGUCUCAACAGAUCCAAACGGUUCGAUUCAGCUCCACACUUAAUUUUGGAUUCUCCAGCAUCUGCAGUUCCCAUGAUCUCUGAUCACAAUUUUAACCUCACUGUGAAGCCUCUUCCAGGAUGUCUAACCUGAAGAAGUUACCCUCCUCCCUCUGGACCAACCUCAGGGAGUCUGUCUCCCACAGCAACUCUCUUGUAAUCUCUUUGGCCUUGCUCCCUAUUUAUUUCAGAACCCUCGCCCCAUCCCCCUCUCUGAUGAAGUGUCUAUGCCCAAAACGUAUGCUUUUGUGCUCCUAAGAUGCUGCUUGGCCUGCUGUGUUCAUCCAGCUCCACACUUUGUUAUCUUGGAUUCUCCAGCAUCUGCAGCUCCCAUUAUCUCUGAUCACGAUUCAGAAUGAGUUUUUUCUUUUCAAUCGAUGUUUGAACUCUAUCCAUUUGCGUCUAUCCAGUUCAGUAAACUCCGGUCUGUGAAAACCUUUGAAUAUCUUGGACGCUUCCUUUUUAGCUGUUCACCCUUUCUGCCAUCCCUAUCUUGUGUGUAGCUCUGAGCUCCCCAUGUCAUUCAGAUUGAGAUGAUCUGACCAGCUGCCCCUCCCAUAUACCUCCUUUCUCUGAAACAGUCCUCCUUCCUGGAGCCCUGAGCCCUCAAUUUCUCCAGAUCCUCUAACAAAAAUAACAAAACAGAAAUACAGUAUAGGAACAGGCAAUUCAACCCUCCAAGCCUAUACCAAUCACCAUGCCCUAACUAAGCUAAAAAAACAAACCUUCUGCCCUUAUUCAGUUCGCAGCCCACUAUUCCCUCCCUAUUCAUGCAACCAUCCAGAUACCUCUUAAAUAUUGCCAAUCUGCCUGCUUCACCACCUCCUCUGGCAGUAAAUUUGGACUCCUACCACUCUGCGUUGAAUAUGUCCCUCACACAUCUCCCUUAAACUUUCCCCUCCUCACCUUGAACUUGUGCCCCCUUGUAAUUGAAACUUUAACCCUUUGAAAAAGCCUCUUUGAAAAUCCAUCCUAUCAUUGCCUGUCAUAAUUGUUUAAGACCUCUAUCAGGUUUCCUCUCUGCUGCCAUCUUUCCAGUGAAAACAAUCCUAGUCUUUCUAACCUUUCCUCAUAGCCAAUGGCCUUGAUACCGAGCAACACCUUGGUGAACCUUCUCUGCACUCCAAAGCUUCCAUGCCUUCCUGGUAAUGUAGCAACCAAAACUGCACAGCAUACUCCAAAUGUGGCCUAACAAGGGUUUUGUAGCUGCAAUGUGGUUUGCCAACUGUUGUACUCCAUGCCCUGACCAAUGAAGACAAAUAUGUCAAUGUCUUCUUAAUCACCUUGGCCACCUGUGUUGCCACUUUUAAGGAACUGUGGCCCUGCAUGCCCAGAUUUGUCUGUAUGUUAAUGUUCCUGAGGGUUCUUCCAUUUAGUGUAGUUCAUACCUAAAUUUGAUCCUCCAAAAUGCAGUUAUUUGAGAGCAAAUCUACAUCUGGCAUGGGGAGGCUUUCAG